AAACUUUUUCUCCACAUUUUGAACAGAGGAAUCAGCUCAAAUGGUAGAGUGCUUGCUUAGCAUGCGAGAGGAAGUAGGAUCGAUGCCCACAUUCUCCAAAGGACUUUAGUCUCUUCUUGUUUCCCUGUACUAUGAUUUUUUUUG